GACAUCACUCGCAGAAGAAGCACCGGCUAACUCCGUGCCAGCAGCCGCGGUAAUACGGAGGGUGCAAGCGUUAAUCGGAAUUACUGGGCGUAAAGCGCGCGUAGGUGGCUAAGUCAGCCAGGUGUGAAAGCCCCGGGCUCAACCUGGGAACUGCAUUUCGAACUGGCAAACUAGAGUGUGAUAGAGGGUGGUAGAAUUUCAGGUGUAGCGGUGAAAUGCGUAGAGAUCUGAAGGAAUACCGAUGGCGAAGGCAGCCA
rnacentral:rRNA from 13 species